UCGACGCCCGGCCGGAGGGGACGCCCGACGCGCCUCUGGUGGGCGUGUACCGGCGGUUCAUCGCCACCGGCGCCAAG
rnacentral:tRNA from 1 species